UCAUUUAAAGCUGCUCCAACCGUCUGCCUGUGAUAUCCAAAUCCGAAACAUUCCAUUUUCAUACAUUUCGCAGAUGUAUCAAUUUUCUUUUCCUUUCUUCUUUUCGCGUCCUGCUUAGUAAUUGGCGAAGUUAAAGCGGUUCCAAUGAUCAUGAUUUUGGUGUGGAAUUGAAGAGAAAAUUUAUUGAGAUGAAGAUUUAGAGGAAUUUAUGUAUGCUGUGCUUCAAUCAGUAAGAAACUGCAAGGAACAAUCAAGCUGAUUCGGUGGAAACUGAAGGGAAACAGAAAAAGAGAGAGAAACCAUGAGCAAGUAAAGCGUAUCAGGAAUCAUACAAGGAGAUCAAUAUUUUAUGAAGAUUAGCUAAGCGAGAGAAAGAGGAACUGCAAACAGGGUAAAAAGGUAAUAAAAGAAACAAAGCAAAGAAAUAGAAGGAGAUGUUUACGUGUAUAGCGUGCACAAAGCCAGUGGCAGAAGACGGAGAUGACGGAGCGCGUGGAAGUGGAAUACCAAGUACUAAAGAAGCCGUCAAAAGCCUGACGGCUCAGAUCAAAGAGAUGGCAAUGAAAUUUUCCAGUAGGCAAUGCAAGCCCUGUACAGGUUCCAGCAGUUUCAAAAAAGGACAGAGACCUUAUCCUGACUUUGAUAUGGCUUCUGAAGGGGUUCCAUAUUCCUAUUUCGGAGGUGGAAGCUCAACCUCAACACCUGCGUGGGAUUUUACAAACACUGCUCACCAUCGAGGCAUAAGAUCUGACUCAGGAAGUACUGGACUGUUUAAUGGCGAUCAGACCCCUGGAAGAGCCGAGUCUAUCUCAGCUCAGACUUGUGACGUGGUGCUAGAGGACGAGGAUGAACCCAAGGAGUGGAUGGCACAGGUGGAGCCAGGAGUUCAUAUUACUUUCGUGUCUCUUCCUAAUGGUGGGAAUGAUCUAAAGCGUAUUCGCUUCAGUCGAGAGAUGUUUAACAAGUGGCAAGCUCAGCGAUGGUGGGGUGAGAAUUUUGACAGAAUCAUGGAGCUCUACAAUGUCCAGAAAUUUAAUCGUCAAGCUCUUCAUACACCUUCGAGGUCUGAGGAUGAGAGAGAUUCUUCUUACUCAAGGAUGGGUUCUGCAAGAGAAAGCCCCAUAGUGGCCCCAUCACUUACACCAAGAAAUCACUAUAAGCAGUCUGGAAGUAAAGGGUGUUUCCCAUCUGACGUUAUGGAACAAGUUGGCAGUCAACAUUACCAUGCUGGUUUAAGUGGGUAUGGUACAGGUGGCCCAAAAGCCGAGGCAUCUUCUAUGGAUGCAUCACGGACAACCACAUCGUCUAGAGAUGGUUCUGUUUCUGUUAGCAACGCUAGUGAUUUAGAGACAGAAUGGGUUGAGCAAGAUGAGCCUGGGGUUUACAUUACUAUCAGACAAUUAUCUGAUGGGACUAGGGAGCUUCGACGGGUCAGAUUCAGCCGGGAAAAGUUCGGUGAAGCGCACGCGAAGCUAUGGUGGGAAGAGAACAGAGAAAGAAUACAAAAUCAAUACCUUUAAAAAGACAAGUUCACAUAAUCUGUAAUGGUAGCAACUGAAGUGAAUGAAUUAAGAAUUCUAGUUGCUAGAAUGAAACUCUUUGAAAAUGUUAUCGGAAAACUCUUUGAAAAUGGAAAGUUUUCGUCUGGCAAGGCCAAAUUAAAAUUAACUUUUUAAUUUUCAUUCACAAUUUAUUAAAAAUAAACUCAUACUCAACCAUUAGUCUUCAGGAUUCAAUGGGAUUAAUUGACUCAUAGUUUACAUGUUCAGGAUUUGUUAUCUGUUAACUCCAGCAUUGUAGACAAAGGAAUGGGAUUGAGAAUGUUUGUCAUCUGUUAACACUGAGAUGA